rnacentral:rRNA from 1 species
GCGAACGUUAGCGGCAGGCCUAAACACAUGCAAGUCGCACGAGAAUUCGGUUUCGGGCCGAUAGUAAAGUGGCGGACGGGUGCGUAACACGUGGAUAAUCUGCCCUCCGGGCGGGGGAUAACUGUCCGAAAAGGAUAGCUAAUACCGCAUUCGUCAGCGAGGUCUUCGGACCUUGUUGGGAAAAGGUGGCCUCUUCAUGAAAGCUACCACCGGAGGAUGAGUCCGCGGCCCAUCAGCUAGUUGGCGGGGGUAAUGGCCCACCAAGGCGAAGACGGGUAGCUGGUCUGAGAGGAUGAUCAGCCACAACUGGAACUGGAGACACGGUCCAGACUCCUACGGGAGGCAGCAAGUGGGGAAUAUUGGGCAAUGGGCGCAAGCCUGACCCAGCCAUGCCGCGUGAGUGAUGAAGGCCCUUCGGGUCGUAAAGCUCUGUGGGGAGGGAAGAAAAAACCUUGUGGCCAACCAUCCACGAGGCUUGAACGGUACCUCCUUAGCAAGCACCGGCUAACCUCCGUGCCAGCAGCCGCGGGUAAUACGGAGGGUGCAAACGUUGCUCGGAAAUCAUUGGGCGUAAAGCGCACGUAGGCGGCCUGUUAAGUCGGGUGUGAAAUCCCUGGGCUCAACCCAGGAAGUGCACUCGAAACUGGCAGGCUUGAGUACUGAAGAGGGUCGCGGAAUUCCCGGUGUAGAGGUGAAAUUCGUAGAUAUCGGGAGGAACACCAGUGGCGAAGGCGGCGACCUGGGCAGAUACUGACGCUGAGGGUGCGAAAGCGUGGGGAGCAAACAGGAUUAGAUACCCUGGUAGUCCACGCCCGGGUAAACGAUGGAUGCUAGGUGUUGUGGGUAUUGACCCCUGCAGCGCGCCGCAGUUAACGCAAUUAAGCAUCCCCGCCUGGGGGAGUACGGCCGCAAGGCCUAAAAACUCAAAGGAAUUGACGGGGGCCCGCACAAGCGGUGGAGCAUGUGGUUUUAAUUCGACGCAACGCGCAGAACCUUACCUGGGUUUAAAUCCACUCGAACCUUGGCGGAGACGUGAGGGUGCUCUUCGGAGAGCGAGUGAGAAGGUGCUGGCAUGGCUGUCGUCAGCUCGUGUCGUGAGAUGUUGGGUUAAGUCCCGCAACGAGCGCAACCCUUGUCUUUAGUUGCUAACACUUCGGGUGAGCACUCUUAGAGAGACUGCCGACGUUUAAGUCGGAGGAAGGUGGGGGAUGACGUCAAGUCCUCAUGGCCCUUAUGCCCAGGGCUACACACGUGCUACAAUGGCCGGUACAAAGGGUUGCUAGCUCGCAAGAGUACGCCAAUCCCAAAAAAAACCGGUCUCAGUUUCGGAUAGGAGUCUGCAACUCGACUCCUUGAAGUCGGAAUCGCUAGUAAUCGCGGAUCAGCACGCCCGCGGUGAAUACGUUUCCCGGGCCUUGUACACAACCGCCCGUCACACCAUGGGAGUCAGUUGCUCCAGACAAACGGGUUGCCUAACCGCAAGGAGGGGCGCUCUUUAAGGAGUGACUGGUAACUGGGGUG